rnacentral:rRNA from 1 species
GAUGAACGCUGGCGGCGUGCCUAAUACAUGCAAGUCGAGCGAACGGACGAGAAGCUUGCUUCUCUGAUGUUAGCGGCGGACGGGUGAGUAACACGUGGAUAACCUACCUAUAAGACUGGGAUAACUUCGGGAAACCGGAGCUAAUACCGGAUAAUAUUUUGAACCGCAUGGUUCAAAAGUGAAAGACGGUCUUGCUGUCACUUAUAGAUGGAUCCGCGCUGCAUUAGCUAGUUGGUAAGGUAACGGCUUACCAAGGCAACGAUGCAUAGCCGACCUGAGAGGGUGAUCGGCCACACUGGAACUGAGACACGGUCCAGACUCCUACGGGAGGCAGCAGUAGGGAAUCUUCCGCAAUGGGCGAAAGCCUGACGGAGCAACGCCGCGUGAGUGAUGAAGGUCUUCGGAUCGUAAAACUCUGUUAUUAGGGAAGAACAUAUGUGUAAGUAACUGUGCACAUCUUGACGGUACCUAAUCAGAAAGUCACGGCUAACUACGUGCCACCAGCCGCGGUAAUACGUAGGUGGCAAGCGUUAUCCGGAAUUAUUGGGAGUAAAGCGCGCGUAGCGGUUUUUUAGUCUGAUGUGAAAGCCCACGGCUCAACCGUGGAGGGUCAUUGGAAACUGGAAAACUUGAGUGCAGAAGAGGAAAGUGGAAUUCCAUGUGUAGCGGUGAAAUGCGCAGAGAUAUGGAGGAACACCAGUGGCGAAGGCGACUUUCUGGUCUGUAACUGACGCUGAUGUGCGAAAGCGUGGGGAUCAAACAGGAUUAGAUACCCUGGUAGUCCACGCCGUAAACGAUGAGUGCUAAGUGUUAGGGGGUUUCCGCCCCUUAGUGCUGCAGCUAACGCAUUAAGCACUCCGCCUGGGGAGUACGACCGCAAGGUUGAAACUCAAAGGAAUUGACGGGGACCCGCACAAGCGGUGGAGCAUGUGGUUUAAUUCGAAGCAACGCGAAGAACCUUACCAAAUCUUGACAUCCUUUGACAACUCUAGAGAUAGAGCCUUCUCCUUCGGGGGACAAAGUGACAGGUGGUGCAUGGUUGUCGUCAGCUCGUGUCGUGAGAUGUUGGGUUAAGUCCCGCAACGAGCGCAACCCUUAAGCUUAGUUGCCAUCAUUAAGUUGGGCACUCUAAGUUGACUGCCGGUGACAAACCGGAGGAAGGUGGGGAUGACGUCAAAUCAUCAUGCCCCUUAUGAUUUGGGCUACACACGUGCUACAAUGGACAAUACAAAGGGCAGCGACACCGCGAGGUCAAGCAAAUCCCAUAAAGUUGUUCUCAGUUCGGAUUGUAGUCUGCAACUCGACUACAUGAAGCUGGAAUCGCUAGUAAUCGUAGAUCAGCAUGCUACGGUGAAUACGUUCCCGGGUCU